CACCCUGGCCACAAGUAAAGAGACAUCUUGUUGGUGGUGUAGCUCUCCUGUCAGUCUGGGGCAGAAGAGAUGGCAGUCCUUUGUUCACCAUAGCUUGAUGCCUGGCUUGCUGGCCAAAGCUGUUUUAUCCCUAGGACACACAA